AGAGUUUGAUCCUGGCUCAGGAUGAACGCUAGCUACAGGCUUAACACAUGCAAGUCGAGGGGUAGCAGGGUAGCAAUACCGCUGACCGACCGGCGCACGGGUGAGUAACACGUAUCCAACCUUCCCAUAACUCAGGGAUAGCCUUUCGAAAGAAGAUUAAUGCCUGAUAGUACUUUUUCAAGGCAUCUUGAGAAAGUUAAAGAUUUAUUGGUUAUGGAUGGGGAUGCGUUCCAUUAGAUAGUUGGUGAGGUAACGGCUCACCAAGUCUUCGAUGGAUAGGGGUUCUGAGAGGAAGGUCCCCCACAUUGGUACUGAGACACGGACCAAACUCCUACGGGAGGCAGCAGUGAGGAAUAUUGGUCAAUGGGCGAGAGCCUGAACCAGCCAAGUAGCGUGAAGGAAUGAAGGUCCUAUGGAUUGUAAACUUCUUUUAUAGUAGAAUAAAGUGAUCCACGUGUGGAUUUUUGUAUGUAUACUAUGAAUAAGGAUCGGCUAACUCCGUGCCAGCCGCCGC
rnacentral:rRNA from 1 species